AUGCUUGUUUAGCACAUAUACUAAAAUUGGGACAAUACAAAGAUCAGCAUGGCCCCUGCAGAAGGAUAACACGCAAAUUCCUGAAGUUCCAUCUUUUUCU
ensembl:snRNA U6 U6 spliceosomal RNA